GAUGAACGCUGGCGGCGUGCCUAAUACAUGCAAGUCGAGCGAACGGACGAGAAGCUUGCUUCUCUGAUGUUAGCGGCGGACGGGUGAGUAACACGUGGAUAACCUACCUAUAAGACUGGGAUAACUUCGGGAAACCGGAGCUAAUACCGGAUAAUAUUUUGAACCGCAUGGUUCAAAAGUGAAAGACGGUCUUGCUGUCACUUAUAGAUGGAUCCGCGCUGCAUUAGCUAGUUGGUAAGGUAACGGCUUACCAAGGCAACGAUGCAUAGCCGACCUGAGAGGGUGAUCGGCCACACUGGAACUGAGACACGGUCCAGACGCCUACGGGAGGCAGCAGUAGGGAAUCUUCCGCAAUGGGCGAAAGCCUGACGGAGUAACGCCGCGUGAGUGAUGAAGGUCUUCGGAUCGUAAAACUCUGUUAUUAGGGAAGAACAUAUGUGUAAUUAACUGUGCACAUCUUGACGGUACCGAAUCAGAAAGCCACGGCUAACUACGUG
rnacentral:rRNA from 1 species